UUAAGCGACUAAGCGUACACGGUGGAUGCCCUGGCAGUCAGAGGCGAUGAAGGGCGUGCUAAUCUGCGAUAAGCGCCGGUAAGGUGAUAUGAACCGUUAUAACCGGCGAUUUCCGAAUGGGGAAACCCAGUGUGAUUCGUCACACUAUCAUUAACUGAAUCCAUAGGUUAAUGAGGCGAACCGGGGGAACUGAAACAUCUAAGUACCCCGAGGAAAAGAAAUCAACCGAGAUUCCCCCAGUAGCGGCGAGCGAACGGGGAGGAGCCCAGAGCCUGAAUCAGCAUGUGUGUUAGUGGAAGCGUCUGGAAAGGCGCGCGAUACAGGGUGACAGCCCCGUACACAAAAGCGCAUGUGCUGUGAGCUCGAUGAGUAGGGCGGGACACGUGGUAUCCUGUCUGAAUAUGGGGGGACCAUCCUCCAAGGCUAAAUACUCCUGACUGACCGAUAGUGAACCAGUACCGUGAGGGAAAGGCGAAAAGAACCCCGGCGAGGGGAGUGAAAAAGAACCUGAAACCGUGUACGUACAAGCAGUGGGAGCACAGGUUUACCUGUGUGACUGCGUACCUUUUGUAUAAUGGGUCAGCGACUUAUAUUCUGUAGCAAGGUUAACCGUAUAGGGGAGCCGCAGGGAAACCGAGUCUUAACCGGGCGUUAAGUUGCAGGGUAUAGACCCGAAACCCGGUGAUCUAGCCAUGGGCAGGUUGAAGGUUGGGUAACACUAACUGGAGGACCGAACCGACUAAUGUUGAAAAAUUAGCGGAUGACCUGUGGCUGGGGGUGAAAGGCCAAUCAAACCGGGAGAUAGCUGGUUCUCCCCGAAAGCUAUUUAGGUAGCGCCUCGUGAAUUCAUCUCCGGGGGUAGAGCACUGUUUCGGCUAGGGGGCCAUCCCGGCUUACCAACCCGAUGCAAACUGCGAAUACCGGAGAAUGUUAUCACGGGAGACACACGGCGGGUGCUAACGUCCGUCGUGAAGAGGGAAACAACCCAGACCGCCAGCUAAGGUCCCAAAGUCAUGGUUAAGUGGGAAACGAUGUGGGAAGGCCCAGACAGCCAGGAUGUUGGCUUAGAAGCAGCCAUCAUUUAAAGAAAGCGUAAUAGCUCACUGGUCGAGUCGGCCUGCGCGGAAGAUGUAACGGGGCUAAACCAUGCACCGAAGCUGCGGCAGCGACACUGUGUGUUGUUGGGUAGGGGAGCGUUCUGUAAGCCUGUGAAGGUGGCCUGUGAGGGUUGCUGGAGGUAUCAGAAGUGCGAAUGCUGACAUAAGUAACGAUAAAGCGGGUGAAAAGCCCGCUCGCCGGAAGACCAAGGGUUCCUGUCCAACGUUAAUCGGGGCAGGGUGAGUCGACCCCUAAGGCGAGGCCGAAAGGCGUAGUCGAUGGGAAACGGGUUAAUAUUCCCGUACUUGGUGUUACUGCGAAGGGGGGACGGAGAAGGCUAUGUUGGCCGGGCGACGGUUGUCCCGGUUUAAGCGUGUAGGUGUGUGUUCCAGGUAAAUCCGGUUCACUUUAACACUGAGGCGUGAUGACGAGGCACUACGGUGCUGAAGCAACAAAUGCCCUGCUUCCAGGAAAAGCCUCUAAGCAUCAGGUAACAUCAAAUCGUACCCCAAACCGACACAGGUGGUCAGGUAGAGAAUACCAAGGCGCUUGAGAGAACUCGGGUGAAGGAACUAGGCAAAAUGGUGCCGUAACUUCGGGAGAAGGCACGCUGACAUGUAGGUGAAGUGAUUUACUCAUGGAGCUGAAGUCAGUCGAAGAUACCAGCUGGCUGCAACUGUUUAUUAAAAACACAGCACUGUGCAAACACGAAAGUGGACGUAUACGGUGUGACGCCUGCCCGGUGCCGGAAGGUUAAUUGAUGGGGUCAGCGCAAGCGAAGCUCCUGAUCGAAGCCCCGGUAAACGGCGGCCGUAACUAUAACGGUCCUAAGGUAGCGAAAUUCCUUGUCGGGUAAGUUCCGACCUGCACGAAUGGCGUAAUGAUGGCCAGGCUGUCUCCACCCGAGACUCAGUGAAAUUGAACUCGCUGUGAAGAUGCAGUGUACCCGCGGCAAGACGGAAAGACCCCGUGAACCUUUACUAUAGCUUGACACUGAACAUUGAGCCUUGAUGUGUAGGAUAGGUGGGAGGCUUUGAAGUGUGGACGCCAGUCUGCAUGGAGCCGGCCUUGAAAUACCACCCUUUAAUGUUUGAUGUUCUAACGUGGACCCGUAAUCCGGGUUGCGGACAGUGUCUGGUGGGUAGUUUGACUGGGGCGGUCUCCUCCUAAAGAGUAACGGAGGAGCACGAAGGUUGGCUAAUCCUGGUCGGACAUCAGGAGGUUAGUGCAAUGGCAUAAGCCAGCUUGACUGCGAGCGUGACGGCGCGAGCAGGUGCGAAAGCAGGUCAUAGUGAUCCGGUGGUUCUGAAUGGAAGGGCCAUCGCUCAACGGAUAAAAGGUACUCCGGGGAUAACAGGCUGAUACCGCCCAAGAGUUCAUAUCGACGGCGGUGUUUGGCACCUCGAUGUCGGCUCAUCACAUCCUGGGGCUGAAGUAGGUCCCAAGGGUAUGGCUGUUCGCCAUUUAAAGUGGUACGCGAGCUGGGUUUAGAACGUCGUGAGACAGUUCGGUCCCUAUCUGCCGUGGGCGCUGGAGAACUGAGGGGGGCUGCUCCUAGUACGAGAGGACCGGAGUGGACGCAUCACUGGUGUUCGGGUUGUCAUGCCAAUGGCACUGCCCGGUAGCUAAAUGCGGAAGAGAUAAGUGCUGAAAGCAUCUAAGCACGAAACUUGCCCCGAGAUGAGUUCUCCCUGAGACUU
rnacentral:rRNA from 1 species